rnacentral:lncRNA from 10 species
CCUCCUGCUAUGCAGCCUGGUUCCUAGCAGGCUACUUACAAGUCCACACCCCUAUUAUAAAGUAUAAUUGAGCAGCAACAUCAUGGAAUCAUGGAACAAUACUUGACUUUCUAGGGGGAAGUGUGAAGGAGUGAAGAGGACAGGCAGGGUCUUGCUGGAGUGCAGUCCCAGGCUGAAGAGAACCUCUCACCUCAGCUCCCAGAAUUGCUAGGACUACAGGCAUUUCCAGCUUCUGGUAAUCAUUCUAUUC